rnacentral:rRNA from 1 species
CUUGGUCAUUUAGAGGAAGUAAAAGUCGUAACAAGGUUUCCGUAGGUGAACCUGCGGAAGGAUCAUUAAUGAAACAUUCAGGAGUUGUUGCUGGCCUUUCGAGGCAUUCGUGCACGCUCCGUUUUUCAUCCAUCCACACCUGUGCACCUUUAUCGAAGGAACGAGAGAGAAAGUAACGUUUUUCUCGAAAUUCCUUCGCUAUUACACACUCUUCUUAAAACUCAUAGAACGAACUUGUUAAUAUAACAAACUUAACAACUUUCAACAACGGAUCUCUUGGCUCUCGCAUCGAUGAAGAACGCAGCGAAAUGCGAUAAGUAAUGUGAAUUGCAGAAUUCAGUGAAUCAUCGAAUCUUUGAACGCACCUUGCGCUCCUUGGUAUUCCGAGGAGCAUGCCUGUUCGAGUGUCAUGAAGCUAUCAACUCACUUCUUUUGUUAGAAGUGCAGCUUGGAUUUGGAGCGUUGUCGGCGUUUCGUCAWGUCGACUGCUCUGAAAUGCAUUAGCUCAAUUUACUAAGGCUGCUUCAGUGUAGUAAUCUCUUCACUGUCAUGCAUCGCUCAGUUAAAAGGAGCUCAUAAAGCACCACUUCAUUUCAACUUUUGACCUCGAAUCAGGUAGGACUACCCGCUGAACUUAAGCAUAUCAAUAAGCGGAGGA